rnacentral:lncRNA from 1 species
AAUUGCUCAAAGGCAAAAAAAAGUAUUUUAAGUUCAUUAGACCACAUUCAUUCUGUGUCAGAAACCUAUGCUAUGUCAACUAUUUAAUCACAAUCCAAAUUUAGAGCUGAAUCCAGCUUGAAUGUUGUGUCCAUACUUGCCCCAACCGUUCAGGGUUCAACCUCUGUGGUCGUAUAAAGUUGCGCCCUGCGGAGCAUCUGGUU